ACUAAAAAAAAUGGGGAAUAACUGGCUAGGUAGUAGCUCUGCUGAAAAAGAGCUGAGGGGUACUAGAAGUUCACAAAUUGAGUAUGAGUUACCAGUGUG